GCUAAACAGAUUCCAGGAGAUCCAGGAGAUUGUACAGCCGACACACAGCGUCAAGAACCAGCAACACCAACAGGGCCCAGGCAACGUGAGCUGGUUGCCGGAGAAGCUCCCGUGCAAAGGGGAACAGCGCAGUGAGUCGAUGGACAGGUCGCGUGUCGUGGACCCAAGAGUGAGUUGCAAAGUGCAGCCGAGGGCGCUGCCAGGCUGAGGGCGGCGGUUGGCAAGACAACGCCCUGGCAAAGAGGUGAAAGGGAACUCUGGUCUGUGUGGAGGAUGGGGACGAGAGAGCCACUCUGAAACGAUCAGAAGGUGCCUUGCGAUGCUUCCCUGGUGAAGCUGAUUCUCUGCUGCCAUCGACCAUGAUCAAUCCGCUGCUGGAUGAAGGCGUCCGCAAGAUAUCGCCGUCUCUCAUGAUAACGUCGCAACCCACCAAGAAGCUGCACGCGAGAUAGUUUCAUCGCUCCGUCUUCUCGGUGGACGUUCUCUUAGACGCCCUCCGUAUCUUGGAUGUCACUCCACCGUCCCUUCUCGCGACGAUUCCUGCCCAAGUCCGCUUAGUUUUUGUAAACAAAAACAUUUACGUCUUAACUUGCUUAUGUCAUGUUCCUUUUUCUGUCUCUGUGUAAUCCACUUUUUAUUCUAUUAUAUUGUUAAGGAAUACAUUUCUGAACCAUGUGUCACAGCACGUAUUACGCACCGAUUAAAAAAAAACGUUCU